AUUGAACGCUGGCGGCAGGCCUAACACAUGCAAGUCGAACGAGUGGCGGAGGGGUGAGUAAUGUCUUGGAAACUGCCCGAUGUAGGGGGAUAACUGCUGGAAACGGUAGCUAAUACCGCAUAACAUCGUAUGUGGCCAGAUGGGAUUAGCUAGUAGGUGGGGUAACGGCUCACCUAGGCGACGCUCCCUAGCUGGUCUGAGAGGGUGACCAGCCACACUGGAACUGAGACACGGUCCAGACUCCUACGGGAGGCAGCAGUGGGGAAUAUUGCACAAUGGGCGCAAGCCUGAUGCAGCCAUGCCGCGUGUAUGAAGAAGGCUUUCGGGUUGUAAAGUACUGCCAGCGAGGAGGCGUUACUUGAAGAAGAAGCAACGGCUAACUCCGUGCCAGCAGCCGCGGUAAUAC
rnacentral:rRNA from 1 species